rnacentral:rRNA from 1 species
GACGAACGCUGGCGGCGUGCCUAAUACAUGCAAGUCGAACGCAUUUUCUUUCACCGUAGCUUGCUACACCGAAAGAAAAUGAGUGGCGAACGGGUGAGUAACACGUGGGUAACUUGCCCAUCAGCGGGGGAUAACACUUGGAAACAGGUGCUAAUACCGCAUAAUUCCAUUUACUGCAUGGUAGAUGGAUGAAAGGCGCUUUUGCGUCACUGUUGGAUGGACCCGCGGUGCAUUAGCUAGUUGGUGGGGUAACGGCCUACCAAGGCUGCGAUGCAUAGCCGACCUGUGAGGGUGAUCGGCCACACUGGGACUGAGACACAGCCCAGACUCCUACGGGAGGCAGCAGUAGGGAAUCUUCAGCAAUGGACGCAAAAGUGACCGAGCAACGCCGCGCGAGUGAAGAGGGUUUUCGGGUCGUAAAACUCUGUUGUUAGAAGAGAACAAGGAUGAGAGUGGAAAGUUCAUCCCUUGACGGUAUCUAACCAGAAAGCCACGGCUAACUACGUG